rnacentral:rRNA from 1 species
UGCUUCGCUGACGAGUGGCGGACGGGUGAGUAAUGUCUGGGAAGCUGCCUGAUGGAGGGGGAUAACUACUGGAAACGGUAGCUAAUACCGCAUAAUGUCGCAAGACCAAAGAGGGGGACCUUCGGGCCUCUUGCCAUCGGAUGUGCCCAGAUGGGAUUAGCUUGUUGGUGGGGUAACGGCUCACCAAGGCGACGAUCCCUAGCUGGUCUGAGAGGAUGACCAGCCACACUGGAACUGAGACACGGUCCAGACUCCUACGGGAGGCAGCAGUGGGGAAUAUUGCACAAUGGGCGCAAGCCUGAUGCAGCCAUGCCGCGUGUAUGAAGAAGGCCUUCGGGUUGUAAAGUACUUUCAGCGGGGAGGAAGGGAGUAAAGUUAAUACCUUUGCUCAUUGACGUUACCCGCAGAAGAAGCACCGGCUAACUCCGUGCCAGCAGCCGCGGUAAUACGGAGGGUGCAAGCGUUAAUCGGAAUUACUGGGCGUAAAGCGCACGCAGGCGGUUUGUUAAGUCAGAUGUGAAAUCCCCGGGCUCAACCUGGGAACUGCAUCUGAUACUGGCAAGCAUGAGUCUCGUAGAGGGGGGUAGAAUUCCAGGUGUAGCGGUGAAAUGCGUAGAGAUCUGGAGGAAUACCGGUGGCGAAGGCGGCCCCCUGGACGAAGACUGACGCUCAGGUGCGAAAGCGUGGGGAGCAAACAGGAUUAGAUACCCUGGUAGUCCACGCCGUAAACGAUGUCGACUUGGAGGUUGUGCCCUUGAGGCGUGGCUUCCGGAGCUAACGCGUUAAGUCGACCGCCUGGGGAGUACGGCCGCAAGGUUAAAACUCAAAUGAAUUGACGGGGGCCCGCACAAGCGGUGGAGCAUGUGGUUUAAUUCGAUGCAACGCGAAGAACCUUACCUGGUCUUGACAUCCACGGAAGUUUUCAGAGAUGAGAAUGUGCCUUCGGGAACCGUGAGACAGGUGCUGCAAGGCUGUCGUCAGCUCGUGUUGUGAAAUGUUGGGUUAAGUCCCGCAACGAGCGCAACCCUUAUCCUUUGUUGCCAGCGGUCCGGCCGGGAACUCAAAGGAGACUGCCAGUGAUAAACUGGAGGAAGGUGGGGAUGACGUCAAGUCAUCAUGGCCCUUACGACCAGGGCUACACACGUGCUACAAUGGCGCAUACAAAGAGAAGCGACCUCGCGAGAGCAAGCGGACCUCAUAAAGUGCGUCGUAGUCCGGAUUGGAGUCUGCAACUCGACUCCAUGAAGUCGGAAUCGCUAGUAACCGUGGAUCAGAAUGCCACGGUGAAUACGUUCCCGGGCCUUGUACACACCGCCCGUCACACCAUGGGAGUGGGUUGCAAAAGAAGUAGGUAGCUUAACCUUCGGGAGGGCGCUUACCACUUUGUGAUUCAUGACUGGGGUGAAGUCGGAACAAGGUAACCGUAGGGGAACC